AUGCGAUAAGUAAUGUGAAUUGCAGAAUUCAGUGAAUCAUCGAAUCUUUGAACGCACAUUGCGCCCGCCAGUAUUCUGGCGGGCAUGCCUGUUCGAGCGUCAUUUCAACCAUCAAGCCCCCGGCUUGUGUUGGGGACCUGCGGCUGCCGCAGGCCCUGAAAACCAGUGGCGGGCUCGCUAGUCACUCCGAGCGUAGUAAUACAUCUCGCUCAGGGCGUGCUGCGGGUUCCGGCCGUUAAAAAGCCUUAUUUACCCAAGGUUGACCUCGGAUCAGGUAGGAAGACCCGCUGAACUUAA
rnacentral:misc_RNA from 1 species